UGGGGAAUCUUGCGCUAAUGCGCGAAAGCGUGACGCAGCGACGCCGCGUGGGGGAUGAAGGCCUUCGGGUCGUAAACCCCUUUCGCCAGGGAAGAAGGGAAACUGACGGUACCUGGAGAAGAAGUCCCGGCUAACUACGUGCCAGCAGCCGCGGUAACACGUAGGGGACGAGCGUUGUCCGGAUUUAUUGGGCGUAAAGCGCGCGUAGGCGGCCCGGAAAGUCGGUUGUGAAAACCCGGGGCUCAACCCCGGGCCUGCAUCCGAAACUUCCGGGCUGGAGGUAGGUAGGGGAGAUCGGAAUUCCUGGUGUAACGGUGAAAUGCGCAGAUAUCAGGAGGAACACCGGUGGCGAAGGCGGAUCUCUGGGCCUUACCUGACGCUGAGGCGCGAAAGCUAGGGGAGCGAACAGG
rnacentral:rRNA from 1 species